GACGAACGCUGGCGGCGUGCUUAACACAUGCAAGUCGAACGGAAAGGCCCUGCUUUUGUGGGGUGCUCGAGUGGCGAACGGGUGAGUAACACGUGAGUAACCUGCCCUUGACUUUGGGAUAACUUCAGGAAACUGGGGCUAAUACCGGAUAGGAGCUCCUGCUGCAUGGUGGGGGUUGGAAAGUUUCGGCGGUUGGGGAUGGACUGGCGGCUUAUCAGCUUGUUGGUGGGGUAGUGGCUUACCAAGGCUUUGACGGGUAGCCGGCCUGAGAGGGUGACCGGCCACAUUGGGACUGAGAUACGGCCCAGACUCCUACGGGAGGCAGCAGUGGGGAAUAUUGCACAAUGGGCGGAAGCCUGAUGCAGCAACGCCGCGUGCGGGAUGACGGCCUUCGGGUUGUAAACCGCUUUCGCCUGUGACGAAGCGUGGGUGACGGUAAUGGGUAAAGAAGCACCGGCUAACUACGUG
rnacentral:rRNA from 1 species